rnacentral:rRNA from 1 species
UACGAAGGGUGCUAGCGUUGCUCGGAUUUACUGGGCGUAAAGCGUGCGUAGGUGGCUUUACAAGUCAGGGGUGAAAUCCCACAGCUCAACUGUGGAAUUGCCUUUGAAACUGUAAAGCUGGAGUAUCGGAGGGGAUAGCGGAAUUCCUAAUGUAGAGGUGAAAUUCGUAGAUAUUAGGAGGAACACCGGUGGCGAAGGCGGCUAUCUGGACGAUUACUGACACUCUGGCACGAAAGCGCGGGGAUCAAACAGG